UAAGACAUGACUUUGCUCCUCAUUCACCUUCUGCCAUGAUUGUGAGGCCUCCCUAGCCAUGUAGAACUGGAGCACUGUCUUUCAUUGUCUGAUGUUUAUUGCAAACCUGUUCUUUUCAGCUUUUUGUUGUUUCAGCCUAGUCCAAAGACGUUUACAUCCUGGAAGAGAACUUGCUGGCUUUUCACCUCAGCAUGUAUGGGCCAAACUAAUAUAACAAGAAGUCUUGAGAGGAGUCAGCGGCCAAGCUCCAUGUCUUGCAGCCAAACAAUGCUGUGGGAUGGAAGGUGGGAUGUCAUGUGUCUGGUUUACAGCACUCACGUAUCAGUUGGCAGUUAACGGAAGUGCUACUGAUUGGUGAUAUGCCUACUCCCCCUUCACCUUCGAUCAUGAUUGUAAACUUCGUGAGGACAUCACCAAAGGCUGACAUUGGCAACAUGCUUCCUGUACAAUCUGCAGAACAACGAUGGAACAAAAUAAACACCUUUUCUUUAUAAAUUACCCGGCUUCAUGUAUUCCUUCAUAACAAUGCAAAGCAGCCUAAUACAAAUUGUCAGUGAGUAGGCAGAUUUUCAGAAUGUAUGGCUAAUUGGAAUUUCCAUGGUCCUAUAUGAGAAGAGAUUUGAAGUAAUUCCAUAGAAUGUUAUGAGCGCCCUGGGAGAAGAAAAAGGGUGAUUUUUCAGAAGGAAAAGAGUGUAAGAAAAACAUGAAAUUCAAUUUUCCAAUGACAGUUCUG
rnacentral:lncRNA from 10 species